GACGAACGCUGGCGGCGUGCUUAACACAUGCAAGUCGAGCGGAGCGGCGAACGGGUGAGUAACUCGUUAGUAACUGCCCCCCUCUCUUGGAUAACAGUUGGAAACGUCUGCUAAUACCGUAUUGUGGGGGAUGACUUGCGUCCUAUCAGCUUGUUGGUGGGGUAGUGGCUUACCAAGGGGACGACGUGUAGCCGGCCUGAGAGGGCGACCGGCCACAUUGGGCUGGGAUGCGGGCCAAACGGCUACGGGAGGCAGGAGUGGGGAAUAUUGCACAAUAGGGGAAACCCUGAUGCAGCAACGCCGCGUGCGAGAGGACGGCCUUCGGGUUGUAAACCGCUUUCAGCCAUGACGCGGUAGUGGCAGAGAAAGCACCGGCUAACUACGUGCCAGCAGCCGCGGUAAUUC
rnacentral:rRNA from 1 species